GACAGAGGCCCCAAGCGUUAGGCGGAAUCACUGGGCUUAAAGCGUGUGUAGGCGGACGCCUAAGUGUCUUGUGAAAUCCCACGGCUCACCCGUGGAACUGCUGGGCAUACUGGGCGUCUUGGGCCAACUAGGGGCAGCCGGAACAAGCGGUGGAGCGGUGAAAUGCGUAGAUAUCGCUUGGAACGCCGAAGGUGAAAACAGGCUGCUGGGGUUGUGCCGACGCUGAGGUACGAAAGCGUGGGGAGCGAACGGG
rnacentral:rRNA from 1 species